UGAAGUGAAAGCACAAAAAGCCUCUCGGCCAAAGUUGCUUUUAGCCGAGCAAUGGAAUCUUGAUGGAGGGAAAUUAAUGCCUCAGAGUGUUGAAAUUAUUUAAGAAAUUAGCAAGGUUAAGGAGUCAAGUUGAUUGAGACCUUGGGGAGCCCGAGGCGUAGAUUUGGAUUUACUUUAGAUUGGCUAUCUUGGAGUGCGUACGAGGUACAUACGCACAGUUUGGUGAUCCACCGGUUUAGGACAUCCCCUUCUGCCGUUGGAGUGCUCUUCUCAUUUCAGAGCACAUAUUUUGGUAUACAUUUUGUUCGUUGUGUAUGUACAUAUUUGUUCAGGGGUACGACGGGGGCCCUCUCCCGCCAUAUGUUCUGUUGGUCUGUUUAGAGGUCUGUAGACAUAUUUGUGGGUGUGCGCGCCUACUUCUGUUCAGAUGCGAUUGUAUGAUCCUAUAUGGUUAUGGAAGCCUUGUCGGCGUGCAUUCUGUAUAUGUUUUGGGCCGUUGUGCCAUUUGAUAGCCUAGUCGGCUUCUGAUAUAUAUAUGUACAUAUAUGGUUGUGUUUGAAAUGUGUCUGAGACAGAUCUGGCGAUGUACAUUCCGCCAAUCUAUCAGAUUUUGAU